UACGUAGGGUGCGAGCGUUGUCCGGAAUUAUUGGGCGUAAAGGGCUCGUAGGCGGUCUGUUGCGUCAGGAGUGAAAAACUCGGGGGCUUAACCCCCGAGCCUGCUUCUGAUACGGGCAGACUAGAGGUAUGCAGGGGAGAACGGAAUUCCUGGUGUAGCGGUGAAAUGCGCAGAUAUCAGGAGGAACACCGGUGGCGAAGGCGGUUCUCUGGGCAUUUACCUGACGCUGAGGAGCGAAAGUGUGGGAGCGAACAGG
rnacentral:rRNA from 1 species